AAGUGAUUUCACUCUUUAAGUAUUUGUCUAGUAGGUGUUCCACCCCAUGGGAAGCCCCU
ensembl:snRNA U7 U7 small nuclear RNA